rnacentral:rRNA from 1 species
AGCUCGUGUCGUGAGAUGUUGGUUAAGUCCCGCAACGAGCGCAACCCCUACUUGUUAGUUGCCAUCAUUCAGUUGGGCACUCUAGCGAGACUGCCGGUAAUAAACCGGAGGAAGGUGGGGAUGACGUCAAAUCAUCAUGCCCCUUAUGACCUGGGCUACACACGUGCUACAAUGGUUGGUACAACGAGUUGCGAGUCGGUGACGGCGAGCUAAUCUCUUAAAGCCAAUCUCAGUUCGGAUUGUAGGCUGCAACUCGCCUACAUGAAGUCGGAAUCGCUAGUAAUCGCGGAUCAGCACGCCGCGGUGAAUACGUUCCCGGGCCUU